UACGGAAGGCAGCAGUGGGGAAUAUUGCACAAUGGGCGCAAGCCUGAUGCAGCCAUGCCGCGUGUAUGAAAAGGCCUUCGGGUUGUAAGUACUUUCUAGUCGUGAGGAAGGUGUUAAGGUUAAUAACCUUAGCAAUUGACGUUAGCGACAGAAGAAGCACCGGCUAACUCCGUGCCAGCAGCCGCGGUAAUACGGAGGGUGCGAGCGUUAAUCGGAAUUACUGGGCGUAAAGGGCACGCAGGCGGUUAAUUAAGUUGGAUGUGAAAUCCCCGGGCUUAACCUGGGAAUGGCAUUCAAGACUGGUUAGCUAGAGUCUUGUAGAGGGGGUAGAAUUCCAUGUGUAGCGGUGAAAUGCGUAGAGAUGUGGAGGAAUACCGGUGGCGAAGGCGGCCCCCUGGGACAAAAGACUGACGCUCAUGUGCGAAAGCGUGGGGAGCAAACAGGGAUUAGAUACC
rnacentral:rRNA from 1 species